UACGGAGGGGGCGAGCGUUAUUCGGAAUUAUUGGGCGUAAAGCGCGCGCAGGCGGUCUGGAAAGUCUAUGGGUGAAAUGCCGGGGCUCAACCCCGAGCAUGCCCAGGAUACUGUCAGACUGGAGACACGUAGAGGCAAGCGGAAUUUCGGGUGUAGCGGUGGAAUGCGUAGAUAUCCGAAAGAACACCGGAGGCGAAGGCGGCUUGCUGGGCGUGAUCUGACGCUGAGGCGCGAAAGCGUGGGGAGCGAACAGG
rnacentral:rRNA from 1 species